rfam:Fragilariopsis cylindrus CCMP1102 unplaced genomic scaffold FRACYscaffold_73, whole genome shotgun sequence.
CCUGUUAUCAAUACCAACAUGAUAGCACCCCUUCCUGUCUGCCCAGCAGAGUUAAGCAUGUUCGGGCCUGGUUAGUACUACAGUGGGGGACCACGUUGGAAUCCCAGGUGUUGUUCUCU